rnacentral:rRNA from 1 species
AACGAACGCUGGCGGCGCGCCUAAUACAUGCAAGUCGAGCGAGAAGGUGUAGCAAUACACUUGUAAAGCGGCGAACGGGUGAGGAAUACAUGGGUAACCUACCCUCGAGUGGGGAAUAACUAGCCGAAAGGUUAGCUAAUACCGCAUACGAUUCCAGGACUUCGGUCCUGGGAAGGAAAGCACUACCGUGGGUAGUGCGCUCCUGGAUGGGCUCAUGUCCUAUCAGCUUGNGGUGAGGUAAAGGCUCACCAAGGCUUCGACGGGUAGCUGGUCUGAGAGGACGAUCAGCCACACUGGCACUGCGACACGGGCCAGACUCCUACGGGAGCAGCAGUAAGGAAUAUUGCNCAAUGGGCGAAAGCCUGACGCAGCGACGCCGCGUGGGGGAUGAA